ACACAAUGAUCAUCACAUUCCUUUGUAUUACUUGUACCUCUAUUCUGGUUUCAGGUUCCUCUCUCAGUGACAACGUCCACCAGACUCCAGAUGAUGUGUUCAACAAACCUGAUGAAACGUUAGAAAUCAACUGUACACACAGCAUUCAGAACUACAACCAAAUCCUCUGGUACAAGCAAUCGGACAGACAACUGCAGUUCCUGGGAUACAUGUUUACAACCAGUGGAAACCCAGAGGCUGGCCUGGGUGUGAAGAUAGAAGGGAGUGCAAAUAAAGACCAAAACUGCACAUUAACAAUUGAAAAACUCAGCCUGAGCAGCAGUGCAGUGUACUUCUGUGCUGCUUGGUUACACAGUGCUACAUAUCACUGCUCCUCAGUACAAAAACCUCCUCAUCACACUCAUUCUUUAUCUCUGUAUUAAAGCUCACAGUGCCUCCGUGCACCUGGAAUAAGCCAGUCUAACCAAUGUCUGUCUCUCUUCUGAUUAAGAUCCAAAAUUAGAAUGGGAGGUCCUUUCUGUAGAGCAAUGCCUUUAACCUCCCACCUCCCAUUAUAAAAGCAGCCUCAGACAUUCAUCAGGUCUGCUGUGGCGGCGUCUCAUGUUAACAGGAUCACUAUUAUGACUCAAGUUCUCAUUACAUUUGUAGUCUCGUCUCUGUGGCUUCAAGGUACAAGGCUAAAAAUUAGAGGUCGACCGAUAGUGGAUUUUACCGAUAAGUACAAGUUCCA